rnacentral:rRNA from 1 species
AGAGUUUGAUCCUGGCUCAGAUUGAACGCUGGCGGCAUGCUUUACACAUGCAAGUCGAACGGGGUGAGGGGGCAACUCCUCAUUCAGUGGCGAACGGGUGAGUAAUGCAUCGGAACGUAUCCCGUAGUGGGGGAUAACGCCGGGAAACCGGCGCUAAUACCGCAUAUGCUCUACGGAGGAAAGCGGGGGACCCGAAAGGGCCUCGCGCUAUGGGAGCGGCCGAUGUCCGAUUAGCUUGUUGGCGGGGUAAUGGCCCACCAAGGCGACGAUCGGUAGCUGGUCUGAGAGGAUGAUCAGCCACACUGGGACUGAGACACGGCCCAGACUCCUACGGGAGGCAGCAGUGGGGAAUUUUGGACAAUGGGGGCAACCCUGAUCCAGCCAUGCCGCGUGCGGGAAGAAGGCCUUCGGGUUGUAAACCGCUUUUAGCCGGAAAGAAAAGGCGCUCCCCAAUACGGGGCGUUCUUGACGGUACCGGCGGAAUAAGCACCGGCUAACUACGUGCCAGCAGCCGCGGUAAUACGUAGGGUGCGAGCGUUAAUCGGAAUUACUGGGCGUAAAGCGUGCGCAGGCGGUUCGUUGUGUCUGAUGUGAAAGCCCCGGGCUCGACCUGGGAACUGCAUUGGAAACUGGCGGACUUGAGUGUGGCAGAGGGGGGUGGAAUUCCGCGUGUAGCAGUGAAAUGCGUAGAGAUGCGGAG